UAGAGUUUGAUCCUGGCUCAGGAUGAACGCUAGCUACAGGCUUAACACAUGCAAGUCGAGGGGCAGCAUGUCGGUUGCUUGCAACCGACGAUGGCGACCGGCGCACGGGUGAGUAACGCGUAUCCAACCUACCCUUGUCCAUCGGAUAACCCGUCGAAAGGCGGCCUAACACGAUAUGCGGUUCACCGCAGGCAUCUAACGUGAACGAAAUGUGAAGGAGAAGGAUGGGGAUGCGUCUGAUUAGCUUGUUGGUGGGGUAACGGCCCACCAAGGCGACGAUCAGUAGGGGUUCUGAGAGGAAGGUCCCCCACAUUGGAACUGAGACACGGUCCAAACUCCUACGGGAGGCAGCAGUGAGGAAUAUUGGUCAAUGGACGAGAGUCUGAACCAGCCAAGUAGCGUGCAGGAUGACGGCCCUAUGGGUUGUAAACUGCUUUUAUAGGGGGAUAAAGUGUGCCAUGUGUGGCAUAUUGCAGGUACCCUAUGAAUAAGGACCGGCUAAUUCCGUGCCAGCAGCCGCGGUAAUACGGAAGGUCCGGGCGUUAUCCGGAUUUAUUGGGUUUAAAGGGAGCGUAGGCCGUCUUAUAAGCGUGUUGUGAAAUGUCGGGGCUCAACCUGGGCAUUGCAGCGCGAACUGUGAGACUUGAGUGCGCAGGAAGUAGGCGGAAUUCGUCGUGUAGCGGUGAAAUGCUUAGAUAUGACGAAGAACUCCGAUUGCGAAGGCAGCCUGCUGUAGCGCAACUGACGCUGAAGCUCGAAAGCGUGGGUAUCGAACAGGAUUAGAUACCCUGGUAGUCCACGCGGUAAA
rnacentral:rRNA from 1 species